rnacentral:rRNA from 1 species
ACUGCUCAGUAACACGUGGCUAACCCGCCCUCGGGACGAGAACACCCCCGGGAAACUGGGGCUAAUUCUCGAUAGGCGAAGAACUCUGGAAUGAGUCUUCACCCAAAAGACGCUUAGAUCAUGCUUCUAGACGUCGCCCAAGGAUGGGGCCGCGACCGAUCAGGUUGUUGGUGAGGUAACGGCUCACCAAGCCUUUAACCGGUGCGGGCCGUGGGAGCGGGAGCCCGGAGAUGGGCACUGAGACAAGGGCCCAGGCCCUACGGGGCGCAGCAGUCGCGAAAACUUUGCAAUAAGCGAAAGCUUGACAGGGCUAUCCCGAGUGCCAUCCGCUGAGGAAGGCUUUUACCCAGUCUAGUAAGCUGGGGGAAUAAGGAGAGGACAAGUCUGGUGUCAGCCGCCGCGGUAAUACCAGCUCUCCGAGUGGUGUGGAUGUUUAUUGGGCCUAAAGCAUCCGUAGCUGGCUGAGUUAGUCCCCUGUUAAAUCCACCGAAUCAAUCGUUGGAUUGCGGGGGAUACUGCUCGGCUAGGGGACGGGAGAGGCAGACGGUAUUUCCGGGGUAGGGGUGAAAUCCUAUAAUCCCGGGAAGACCACCAGUGGCGAAGGCUGUCUGCUAGAACGCGCCCGACGGUGAGGGAUGAAAGCUGGGGAAGCGAACCGGAUUAGAUACCCGGGUAGUCCCAGCUGUAAACGAUGCAGGCUAGGUGUUUGGGCGGCCACGUGCCGCUCUAGUGCCGCAGGGAAGCUGUUAAGCCUGCCGCCUGGGGAGUACGAUCGCAAGAUUGAAACUUAAAGGAAUUGGCGGGGGAGCAC